GCCCGGGAUAGCUCAGACAGGAGAGCAUGAGACACUUAAUCUCAAGAGUUCUGGGUUUGAGUCCCACAUUGGGCA